UCUGAGUUUAUCUCUUCACCCCGCUGUCUAUUCUUUUCCCUCCGGAAACCUAACUACCCGGGGAGACUCUAACUUAGAAGAAGAAGAAGACACGACGAUAUUGAGUAUUGAACAAAAUAAGAGGAGAUCGAAGAAAAAGAAGAAGAAGAUAUCGAAUUCAAGCAAUCAUUGGCGUAAGUUUGUAUGCUUGUACUCUGUAUUCUUACGGUUUAUGGAAACACAAAAGACACCGAUGAGCCAUUUAUCCAUUCUUCUCAAGCUAAUUCAGGUUUUUAUUGCAAGGAUGAGAGUAGGCCUGAUAGGAAGUGGCAUAUUGUUUUGCCAAAACAACGAGGUCCUUAUGUGAAUGCUUUUGAGGAUCCUUUUGUCUUUACUGGCAUAGCUAAAGAAUCUUCCCUAACGGCAGCGAACUUAGAUGAUAACAGUAUAUUGAGAAGGAAUGGAAGAAGAACAUCUAGCGGUAAUAAUCUCGGUCAUUUAAACCCUAGCAAUUUCAUUUUAGGCGGGAUGAAAUCUAAAGAAAAUCCUUUUGGGUGGGAUUAUUCCCGCUUGGUGUUUUAUUCAACCCUAAAAUCAAUUCAGAGAUGUUAAGAGGUAUAUCAUUUUUGGGGGAUUAUCAGUUCAGAGUUCAAAAAAAGAUGACUGGAGGGAAUACGACCACUUUUGUUUUUUUGCGAUGGAAUGCAGCCUCACAUUGAAUUGGUCUCCAUCGUCUCCUAGACGUAUCCCCAUAGUGUCUGGAUCAAGUCAUGAUGAACAUAGUUUAGGGAGCCAACCGGGUGGAGCUGUGUUAACCCAUGGAUCAGAAUAUGCUCUUAAUUCACAAGAUAAUGAAAUUGAGAACAUUCAUGCAAACUUUAAUGAUGAGCGUUUGCCGGUAUUCUUUAAUGAGCAUGGGCAAUGGAACGGGCCAGCACAAUUUCCAACCUGGAUCGGAGAGAUUACAAGGUCACAAAUAGGAUUAGGGUAUAAGACUUGGAAAGAGGUUCCUGAUUAAUGCAAAGAAGACAUUUGGAACUCUGUUCAAAGUACGAACCAGGUAACAAAUGUCCAUAAAAAAUAUGUUUUAACAAAAGCAAACAGUGCAUGGAAAACAGAAAAAUCAACAAAAAAAAUGAUUGAUCAAAGAUGUUGCAACUGGGCAAGAAAAUAAAAGGAAGUUGCCAACAUACAGUAAGAAAGAAUACUUGGAGAAGUUUAUUGAUGACAUCAGUGUCCCAAAAUUUCAGACAAAAUCUGAACAAGCUGCGAGAGCACGGUCACAAGUGAAGGUUUAGCAUACAGGUGGUAGGAAAUGUGUCCCUACAAGGUGGAUUGAAAUGGAAAAGGAAAGCCCCACUGGUGCGAUAUAUUAGCCAGAUGUGUGUUUAAAAACACAUAGGGUCACCCCAGAUGAUAAUCCCUCAUCUUCUAAAUCACUGGCAGCUGCAGAACUAGUAAGUUCUCCUGUUUUUAAAGGGAUGCGGAGUGUGUGCUGGUGUUUCUAAAUCUCAGUUUAUUGCUUCUGAGUUUAUGAAGGUCAAGGUGCAGAAAGAGAAGCACAAUCUGCGGAAAGAGAAGCAGAAAAACGAAGCUUUGAAAGCACAGUUGGAUGCUGAAAGACAGAAAAACAAGACUGGAGUACAUUAUCAGAUCUCUAAUAGCUUUUAUCAGCAGGAUAUUGUGUUCCCUUCGUCGUUCGGUCUUUGUUGUUUGAGGAACUUCAGGAAAAAAGUUGUUGCACUUGCAUAUGUUGAUAGUAAGCUACUGAUUGAUGACAGCUACGAAUGCAUGAUUGAGGAAAUAUUUGAUCCAAGAGCGAUGUUGUGCAAUAAAGAUGAUGCAGUACUUCAGGAUGUUUCGAGGGGUGAGUUUAUUAAGUGUCCCAAGGCCUACGUGACUUCUGUAGGAGAGCGAUCAAGUUAGAGCGGCAAUGACAGUAUAUUGGUUACUUUUUUAAUUCAGUAUUUAAGUUGGAGUUAGAAAAUGUCUUCUAUUACAUGUUCGAAUAUUCAAUUUUUUUUAAAAAAAUAA